CUAAAGUUUUAUUUAAGCUUAGGAUUUUAGUUUAUUUUUUUUUUACAUGUAAAUAUUUUUGUUUUAACAACUAUUUAUGCAGUAUUUAAUUUUAUAUAUCAAAUUAUUUUGGAUUUAGAAAUUGAUAAGAGUUUUAAUAAAUUUUGUGCCAGCAAUUGCGGUUAUACAAAUAAUGCAAUUAAAAAUUUUUGGUUAGUAAUUAAAUGUUUAAUUUUUGUUAAAAUUUAUUAUUAAAUUUUUUAGGUGAAAUUUUAAAUUUAAUAUAAGUUUCUUUAGUUUAUUUUGAGGUUAUUAAAGUUUUCUUUUAGACUAGGAUUAGAUACCCUAUUAUUAAAAUUGUAAAUAUUGAAUGCCUGAUUAUUAGUAGAUUAUUUACUUGAAAAUUAAAGAUUUUGGCGGUAUUUUAGUCCAUUCAGAGGAACCUGUCCUGUAAUUGAUAGUCCACGAUUUACUUUACUUUUUUUUUGUUUGUAUAUCGUCGUGGUAUGAGUAUUUUAGAAGGAUUUAUAAUACUCAAUAAGUAUAAUUAUAGUUUAUGUCAGAUCAAGGUGCAGCUUAUAAAAAAGAAGAGAUGGGUUACAAUAAAUUUAUUUUUGGUUUACUAUUUGAAUAUUUAAUUUGGUAAUAAAUUGGAUUUGAAUGUAAUAAUUUUUAGAUUAUAAUUGUGAUUAUUGGCUCUAAAAUAUGCACAUAUUGCCCGUCGCUCUCAUUUAAUAUGAGAUAAGUCGUAACAUAGUAGAUGUACUGGAAAGUGUAUCUAGAAAGAU
rnacentral:ncRNA from 1 species